ensembl:snRNA U6 U6 spliceosomal RNA
GGGCUUGUUUCAGCAGCACAUACACUAAAAUCAUAAUGAUACAGAGAAGCCAGCAUGGCCCUUGUGCAAGGAUGACACACAAAUUCGUGAGGUGUUCCACAAAAAA